UUCUGUGUUCACAGGAAUCUGCGGGCGGAGCCUCAGGAGGCAGCGGGAACAGCUCCGGCUGGUCUGCAAAGCCCUUGAAGACAUGGCAGAUGACGUCAGUCCUGCCAUCAGUCGCCUGGCACUUCAAACCUCCUACAUCCUCCGGGCAGUAGACAGAUCUCGAUAUUCCAUGUUCGCGAACCUUCAAGAUGAGCUCCGCAGGGUAUGGAGGACACGGCCUCGACUGUCAGGCCUCGGCUGGCUGCGGUGCUGCUGGAAUUCUGGAGAAAACUGAUCCGGGACACCCUGUCUGCUUGGGGCCACCCGAGCCAAUGGGGAUUUUCUUUUUCCUCAUGACUGUUCUUUUCUUCUUCUAAUUUUUAUUUACCGUAUAAAUAUAGGAUGUGUUAUAAUA